rnacentral:rRNA from 1 species
UGGGGAAUAUUGGGCAAUGGGGGAAACCCUGACCCAGCAACGCCGCGUGAAGGAAGAAGGCUUUCGGGUUGUAAACUUCUUUUACCAGGGACGAAGAAAGUGACGGUACCUGGAGAAAAAGCCACGGCUAACUACGUGCCAGCAGCCGCGGUAAUACGUAGGUGGCAAGCGUUGUCCGGAUUUACUGGGUGUAAAGGGCGUGUAGGCGGAGAUGCAAGUCAGAUGUGAAAUCCUCGGGCUUAACCCGGGAACUGCAUUUGAAACUGUAUCCCUUGAGUAUCGGAGAGGCAGGCGGAAUUCCUAGUGUAGAGGUGAAAUGCGUAGAUAUUAGGAGGAACACCAGGGGCGAAGGCGGCCUGCUGGACGACAACUGACGCUGAGGCGAGAAAGCGUGGGGAGAAAACA